rfam:Populus trichocarpa scaffold_15_contig_14, whole genome shotgun sequence.
GUAAUGUUUCUUGCUCAAAUGAGUAUUCCAACAACAGUAGCCUUUUGAACAAGAACAUAUGUUUUUGCCUUGUAUGGUUAUGAUGUUGCUGGUAUUUACUGUUUCUGAGAUGCUCAUUCGAGCAAGAAAUAUUAG